UUCUGGUUAUCUCUCCCUCUCUCUUUCCCUCCUGUGUCUGUCUUUCUCUCCUCCUCUCUGUGUCUGUCUCUCGUGUUUAUUCUGUCGUUUGUGCACCUUGCCAGUUGGACGGGAGAUGGGUUGUGGAAAUUCCGCUGCAACUAGCUCAACUGGAGGAGGUCAGUCUGAACCAUCCAAAGAAGAAGAUACAAUGAGUCACUGAAAGUCGACGUAGGUACAAACAAAACAUCAUUUCCCAGAAUGCAUGAGUCAGCCAGAGAGCUCUAACCAGCAGUCAUCACCCGGACCUUGGUCCCAUGUAGCCACAGCAGAGUCCAGAACCUGUUAACCUGAUUAAGACAGAGACAGACACACCUGCUGAUUAAGACAGAGCACAGACACACGACGGAGGAACCUUCCCCAGAGGACGAGAGGAGGAUUAACUAUGGUGGUGUGUAUGUGGGGAUCCCAGCUGACCUGAGUGGUGUUCCUGCUGUGCUGUUCCCCUCGUCACACACAGGGGAGCAGUAGAAUCCUGGGGGAGCCAAUCACCUGUCAGUUCCUGAGGUCAUGAGGUCAGGACUGGUCUGGGAUCAGGAUGGAAGUCUGCCAUGGGAAGUAGAUCACCUGGACAGGAAGUAAACCUGAACAGACUGACUGUAAACUCCAGUUGUCACUCUUUGUUCAUCACUUCUGAACUGAGCUGAAGGGUUAGAGACUGUCAUAGUCCUCCCCACACCAGCUCGCCCAACCACCUCUGCUCCCUUACCGGCUGCCCCCCCCCCCCCCACCACCACCACCGCCCCCGCCGGUUCAGGGCCCCCAGACAGCCAAUCAGGAGAAGGAGGCUACACAGUAAGGAUGCAAUGCAGUCAGUAAAGAUAUAUGCUGUAGUGAGAACUUGCCGCUAGAAGCCUUUUAUCUGUCCAACUGUCACAAUAAAGCCCUUCUGUACUGUAGCUCUGUGUGGCACACAUCUUGUCUAUUGUCUUAGAUGCAGAGAUGGCAAAAGUACACACAUCAUUCAAUCAAGUAGAAGUACAGAUACUCAUGUUUUUUCUUGUUGCCUUCUGCCUGGCUCCGUGGUAGCUUCUUGCUCCAUGGUAGCUUCGUAGACUAGCUUAUGUUUGUUGUGCGUCAUAGGCAGGAAAUGAAAAAAGGCGUGCAAUGACAGUAAAUAAUAUUGACCAUGCCACCAAAAACAGAUUCAAACUUAAGUAACGAGUCUGUUUUGAAAAUGUACUGAUAUUUGUGUAUAGAAAAUUUAAGGAGGGAAAAUAAAAAAUGGUAAAGUCCUGAUACCAGACAAAUCUACUU